UACGUAGGGUGCGAGCGUUAAUCGGAAUUACUGGGCGUAAAGCGUGCGCAGGCGGCUUCGCAAGUCAGGCGUGAAAUCCCCGGGCUUAACCUGGGAACGUGGCGUCUGAAACUACGGAGCUGGAGUGUGGCAGAGGGAGGUAGAAUUCCACGUGUAGCGGUGAAAUGCGUAGAUAUGUGGAGGAAUACCGAUGGCGAAGGCAGCCUCCUGGGCCAACACUGACGCUCAUGCACGAAAGCGUGGGGAGCAAACAGG
rnacentral:rRNA from 1 species